GACAGCACUGUAGCUGGUCAGAGAGAGAGAGAGAGAGACCAUUGACUCCCUCACAGAUGACAUCGGAGCACAGACAAGGGACAAGAUCUGGAGUGAUACGGGCUACUGUAGAAACAGGGCCAUGAGCCACAGACUAACCUGGAAACCAAACCAGGGCCCAGCUUGUCAGUGAGGGGACAGAUAAUGGACUCCCUGAGCCGUGGCAUCAAGCUAGCACCCCACAGUGCAGCCCUGGCUAUUAAGAGGCACAAACUUCGAACACGUGGGAGACCUUGUUACCUACGGACAAACCUUGAUCUACAGCUGUAUUGCCAAUUACUUGCUCAACAAACCUGUUACUUUUUUGGAAAUAAUAAAUAAUUCAGGGAAAAUCA
ensembl:antisense Gm11712 predicted gene 11712